rnacentral:lncRNA from 1 species
AUAAAAUUCAAAUUGCAACUGACACAUUUUGAUGGAUGGAAUUUUAAAAAUAAGAACAUUUAUGUACUUAAUUUAAGCACAAGUGAAAACAAUUCCUAAAUAUAAAUUUUUGCUUCAUUUGGUAACAUGGAUGUGCAAAAUCACUGAUGGCUAACAAGGUUAAUUCCCUUAUUGGUUAGAUAAUGAAGUAUAGUCUACUGGACCCUGUAGACAUCCUACUAAAUGUAUUGAUAUAUUAAAUGUUUUUUUUAUAUCUCAAUCAAUAUUUGUACAUGCCUCACACAAAAAGGUGCAAGCAGAGUUGCAUGUACUGGACAGAGUCAGCUAUCAACUUUCUUUUUAUAACAGACCCAUUUCACAAUCAAUAUUUGUACAUGCCUCACACAUAAAGGUGCAAGCAGAGUUGCAUGUACUGGACAUUGUCAGCUAUCAAGUAUUUUUAUAACAAACCCACAGAACUGGUAUCCAGGAAAUUGAAAUGAAUCAACAAAACAUUUAUAUUGUAGAAAUGUAUUUUCCCGCGUUUCGGAGUAUAGCGGGAAAAUGUUGUCUAAAAGGAAUGUUUUAUAAGAACAGUAUGUUUUUGGCGGGUUUUGUUAUGUGUAGUUCUACACGUGGACCAAUCAUUUGGAUUGUGUCAAUAAGUAUUAUUAUGUUAAUAAGGUGAAAGCGGGUUUUUAAUUUUCUUGUGUUUGAAAAUCAUUCUAGCCACAGACGUUCAACACUAUAAAACUUAUAUUGUAUAUUAUUUUGCUGUUUUUUCUUGUGAUGGAGUUUGGCAUCAAUGUCCCGAGGCGUGCCUUGCACUUGCUCCGAACACAGGUUUCCAUAUCAAUUUCUUUAGUAAAGUUUUUGAUGGUUUUUCCUGGGCGGUGAGGUUACGUUAAAGACGGAUAUAUACAUAAAUACAUACAUAGAGAUAUGGGCUCUUAUUGAUUCAGACUAAACUUGUUUCAGAUGUUUAUUCUUUCUGUGUACUCAUUUGGAAUGUAUUUGUAUUUCAUAUAUGUCAUGAUUUAUAAUAUAAAUAUACAUUAAACGCCGGCUCUGUUAGUCUGCACGGCUAAAUGCAUUGCUUUGUGUUUGUUAUUAUUGUAGUGUAGUUAAGACUAAUAUAUUUCUCAUUAUACCUUACUUAUGAUGCAGAUUCAAAGAUGUACUACAGUGACAUAACACUACAAGUUACAAUAUAUUUUGUA